CAGUAGCCGCGGGAAUACCGAGGGUGCAAGCGUUAAUCGGAAUUACUGGGCGUAAAGCGCGCGUAGGUGGUUUGUUAAGUUGGAUGUGAAAGCCCCGGGCUCAACCUGGGAACUGCAUCCAAAACUGGCAAGCUAGAGUACGGUAGAGGGUGGUGGAAUUUCCUGUGUAGCGGUGAAAUGCGUAGAUAUAGGAAGGAACACCAGUGGCGAAGGCGACCACCUGGACUGAUACUGACACUGAGGUGCGAAAGCGUGGGGAGCAAACAGGAUUAGAUACCCGCGUAGUCCCUGUCUCUUAUAC
rnacentral:rRNA from 1 species